AAUAAGCUGUACGUUUUACGUCCAAUGGAUGCAUGAUCCGAUUAGUCGACUAAUCGCAAAAAUAAUCGGUGACUAGUCGACUAUCAAAAUAAUUGUUUGUGGCAGCCCUAGUGGACUUUGAUUCCAAGUUAAUACUAGCUAGUGUUUCUCACUGGUUUUUGGGCGGUGGAGUAAAAGGGAUUGGUUGGUGGCUGUUUCUAAUGUUAGCCUUGUCUUUGCUUUCUUACAGGCAGGAUAAAGACACGGUGAUAAAUGAGUGUGUGGGCCGUCUGCUGAGGUCCAAGAGCUCAGGACACUCAGACGGGGGUGUCGCAGCAGGAGUCACCGUGCUCCACAAUCCUCUGCUGUUCUGAGAUGUCACACUCCUGCCUGCACAUACAAACCACAGUGAAGUCAAAGUUCCACCUGCACCUCCACCUGUUCUUGCAACAGCAUGAACACUGACAGAGGAGGAAGGUGGAGGAGCAGCUCCAGCAGAGCAACACCAGAGGUGUGUGGAGAGGACUGAACACCAUCACUGGACGGAGCACUGUGAGCGGAGGGGGUCCAGAGUCUGGAGACCAGGUUCUGGCUAACAGAUUGAACCAGUUGUUUAACAGGUUUGAUUCAGUAGCCCUUCCCUCCCCCAUCCACCAGAGCUCGUCACACCUCUCUGCAACCCCCCAUAGCACCGGGGACAUGAAAUGCACCUCACCUGUCCCCCUUUUCCUUCUCCUUCAACCACUCUACUGGGUCUAAGUCGUCUCCACCUGCUACAGCGGCUGAGAUCCUUUGGGGUGAACAGGACACUCCUCAGG
ensembl:lncRNA